CAUCGAGUUUACCAUCCCUAGUUCUGUCCAUUCUGGAAUUUAAUUUUUCAAUACGCUGUAUAUUCUUUUACAUACAUCGGACACGAUUCUACCAAAGUGCUGCUUGCUUGCUGAAUUUAGUAGGCAACAUUGGUUAAAAAUGACAGAUUUUUGCCAUUGUGAAUGGUGAUUGACAGAAGGAAGAAGAUGAAAACGUAAGCAAAAGAUUUAAAGAAAGCGGUAGAGAUGGAAGGGAACAAACUAAGAACAAUGUGGACAAAUAGUGACUGUUUAGUUUUGUAACAAAUAGAUACAUACAUAUGUAUGUGUCUCUAUUUGUAUUGUGGUAAUCAUAAAAUUAUUAAAUUGGUAAUCACGCACAUUCGGAAUAAAAAGACCGCAGCACUAAUGUGUAUAUUGUACAAAUAAUUUAUUAAAGAAGUAUUUGACUUUUUACAAAUAUUCCUUUUCUUAAAGUUAAAUAUUUCGAUUAUUUAAGUAACGAAUGUUGUCGAUGUAGAUAGAUCGCUGCUGUCGAUGUUGAAAAACUGUAGCGGGACGUGUGUUCUCGGUACGGGCGUAAAAAGCCAAUGUGUAUCAGCGAUGAGUGCGUGGCGAAUUGUGGAAACGAAUUGUGUCAGCUUCCCCGUUGUCCACUCCUUUUGUUGGUUGGGUUGGUGUAGAGGUUUGGUGAGUUAAAUUGGUGUUGUGUUGCAGUGGCAUCCUGUGGUGAAUUGCGCUAUUUUAUUAGGAUGCGCUAGUUUUUCUGGGUAGAGAGGGUGGAUGCUUAACUCAUUUAAACAUCCUGGGCCCCCUAGGUGAAUAUUUUGCCUAGUAUUAUACGUAUAAGUAUGUAUUUCGACGUACUACUGGUGGAGUAGCCGAAGCGCGGAAUACGUUCUGACAGCAGAAGUAUGUCUUGAAGGAUUCAUAUUUAUCCGUGUGUGUAGAGAACGGAUUUUGGUAUGAAACAUAUCACAUAUAUUUCAAUGUGCAUUUUAAUAUACGGGUAGGUGCUUAAGAAAUGCAACUUUAUUAUGCGGGUUUAAUUGAUUUUACUGACAACCUUUUGUAUUUGCGAUUUUUCCUUUUAUCGUUUCAUUAACUGGAUUAUUUAUUAUUUGCCUUUUCUGUGUUAUCGGCUCAUCAAUGGGUACUCCUUAGCCCUAGAUUUAGGACUAUGAAAGUAGAGCGAUCUUGCGAGAGAAUGGCCGUGAAUAGAGAACGGCUUCGAUUCAUAGAGUAGAAAAUUCUUCAUAAUUAAGUUGAUGCUUCUUAGAGCUGUUUUCCAUGAGUAGCGCUUAGAUAGAUGCGAUAAGAACGACCUUUGCCUUUUGUAAGAGUAGGUGCGUCACUGUAUCGCAUUGGGAGUAUGGUGAUCCCUUAACUUUCUUUUGAGAUUUUAUUUAUUUUUGAAAAUGUAUGAAAAGUGUAAUAUUACAAGUUUUCAGAUCGUGGGUAUGGGACAAGCAGUUUGUGCAGAGUCUCUUUGAUCUGACAAAGUUGUUCCUUUCGUUAAUGCUUAAUUUUUUAAACUUCUCGCAAGUUUUAAGCUUAUGUCCUCUUGUGCAUAGUUCGCAUGACAUAUGUUUUCUUUGUUCCGAUGUGAACGAUUGUAUUUUGUUAAAAAUUCUGUUUAAUUUGUUUUUGCUUCUAGCUUGGGGUCUAUUUGAGCUUCCAUUUUGGUCAUUCUUAGUUUUGAUUAUUUUUUCUUCUAACCUUUCCGCAAUUUCAUAUUGGGUGGUGAGAAAAUCUUUCAUUUGUUGCCACGUUGGGCACUUUCUUCUCUGAUAAUUGAGGAUGGUUUAUGUACACGGCCGUGAACAUGUCCCGGAAGGAUGGCCAUUCUUCAUAACCUCCAUAAAAUGUUUCUGUGUCACAUGCGGGCACCUCAAGUUGGAUGCCUGAACUUGCCUCUUGAUAUUGUUGCACUUGUGGCAGCUCUACUCUACUGUGGGGAGUAGGUGCAAUUGCUUUUAAUAGCUUCAAUUGAUCGGAGAUCAUAGCUUUCGUUUCUUCAUAUUGGUCUAAGCAGUUUUCGUAAGUAUCGUAAGCCGAUGAUUUAAAAAUUUGAGGUAGAUCUGAAUCGUCAGAUUCUACUAUGGCGUCAUGAGCCGCUUGGAGUCGUAUCCAAAAAUUGUUGAGAUUUAUAUUUCUGAUUUCUAGUAACGAUUCCGAGUUUUCGUGAAUCGGUGAAGAGGCAAAUCUAGUGCAGUAUCUUGUUAAACUGUCACUUUCUGAAAUAAAUCUAGCAAUCUGUUUUGAGCGUGUAGCUCCAGGUGUGCUAUGAUUUUUGUUAUUGUUCAUUAUUUUAGUUGUAUGAAGAAAUAUUUUUUAAAAUGAAGAAAGGGUUUCUCAGUGUGAACUGAAUACUUUUUUAAGUAUAUGAACGUUUUUUUUCGUAAAAGACGGAUUUUUUGUUUUAUUAAUACCGUUACUUGUUUACUUGCUAUUUAAAUUUGUUUUUAUUUUAAUAUUAUUUUUAUUUUAUAUGAUUUGUUUUCAAACCACGAUAUUAUUUUUAAUUAUUUUCUAUAUAGGUAUAGAGGCACACCCUAAUAAUUGACUUGUAUGUACUUGUUUUUGUGCAAUUGAGAGCUCGUCGAAGAGAUCAAUAUGCUUUGUACAUAAGUAUGCACGACUUGUUAGAGCUAAUGUUUUUUUUUUUUUUGUUUUUCUUGCAAUCCUGCUUGUUUUUGUUUGACAAAGAACAAGUGGUCUUGCAGAAUAGAUGCUAAUAUGGACUUUAAAUAGAUGGGUAUGUUUAAAUGCACAUGUGUGUAUGUACGUAUGUUGAAAUGUAUGUUGUUCAAAUUAAUAAUUUGAUGUAUGUAUAUUUCGUUAAUCUGAUUUUUAAUUUUGCAUACGUUCUAAUAAAUGUAUUUUGUAAAAGUCAAUUUUACUUUGUCUUACCGUUUAGUUUUUUACGGAAAAUUAAUUAAAAUUUAAAAUUUUAAUAAUUUAGCAUAUGGUACCCAGUAUAGGGUAUAAAACUACAGGCAGAUUCUAUGCCGCAUGGUUAUACAUAUGUAUAUAAAUAUGUAUUUUCGCUCUGAGAAGAGAGUGCGAAGGCGAAAUAAAGAAUGUGCAGGUAUUCUCCCGCAUGCACUUUGUAUGUUGUUUGUUGAUUUGUAAGAAGUUAGGUUUAUGUCAAGAAUGAUAGAAUACAAGAUUACGAUGACCGCCAUUACGGAACGUCAUAGUUCCGUGUUGAGAAGAACAAGAGUGAAAAACUGUCAAAUGGCUUGCAAAUUGUAAACAGAAAAGUAAACACUUUUGUAAAUUCGCAAAAUAUUAUUAAUUCUUUCGAUUUUAAUGAAAAGUUUUAGUGAAGCGGUUGAAUAUUGUUGAGUGAAAAGAUUUGAAUCAUUUCUAAAGAAUUGUGGUGAAUUGCGCUAUUUUAUUAGGAUGCGCUAGUUUUACUGGGUAGAGAGGGUGGAUGCUUAACUCAUUUAAACAGUGACGAAGUUGUGUUAAUAGAUUUGUGGCGGGAACGAGCCAGAGACUAGCGACGUGCUAAACGUAAUGUGCACAUCUAUGCCGACAUCUCUGUGCAAAUGCCGCACAAAUUUACUGUAAAAGAAGUGCAUGUUAAAAUACGGAAUCUUACACAAAAGUAUAGAGAGGAAAAGAAAAAAGUUGGGCCCUCGGGGGGCAGCCCAUCGCUGUGGAAACAUUUUGAUGCGGUCCAUCAAAUUAUCGGACUGACAGCAGCCAAUACUGCUGAAGUAUUCGAAUCAUUUACUGUGGUAAGCUGAGUUUUACACGUUUAUUAUUAAAAUAAUUUUUUCUUUAAAACAUACCGAAUUC